rnacentral:misc_RNA from 1 species
UUACCGUAGGGGGCUCUUGCCCCUGAAACAGUAACCCUUGUCUAUAAGCACUUUGUUUCCUCGGCAAGCUUGCUUGCCAAUGAGGACUACACCCAACCAUUUUGUAGUAGUAGUAGCCGUAAAUAAACAAAAAUCAAAACUUUCAACAACGGAUCUCUUGGUUCUGGCAUCGAUGAAGAACGCAGCGAAAUGCGAUAAGUAGUGUGAAUUGCAGAAUUCAGUGAAUCAUCGAAUCUUUGAACGCACAUUGCGCCCUGUGGUAUUCCGCAGGGCAUGCCUGUUCGAGCGUCAUUUAAACCCCUCAAGCUCUGCUUGGUGUUGGGCGCUUGUCCUGCCUUUCUGGUAAGGACUCGCCUUAAAUAUAUUGGCAGCCGUCACCCUGGCUUCGAGCGCAGCACAUUUGCGCCUGAUUUCUGGUGACAGUUUUCCAAAAGCCUAUUUUUUUUA